rnacentral:rRNA from 1 species
UAUGUAAAAGGUGGCUAUGCUACCGCUUUUGGAUGGGCCCGCGGCGCAUUAGCUAGUUGGUGGGGUAAAGGCUUACCAAGGCAAUGAUGCGUAGCCGAACUGAGAGGUUGAUCGGCCACAUUGGGACUGAGACACGGCCCAAACUCCUACGGGAGGCAGCAUUAGGGAAUCUUCCACAAUGGGCGAAAGCCUGAUGGAGCAACGCCGCGUGGGUGAAGAAGGUCUUCGGAUCGUAAAACCCUGUUGUUAGAGAAGAAAGUGCGUGAGAGUAACUGUUCACGUUUCGACGGUAUCUAACCAUAAAGCCACGGCUAACUACGUGCCAGCAGCCGCGGUAAUACGUAUGUGGCAAGCGUUAUCCGGAUUUAUUGGGCGUAAAGGGAACGCAGGCGGUCUUUUAAGUCUGAUGUGAAAGCC